rnacentral:tRNA from 1 species
AGGGGUAUAGCUCAGUGGUAAAGCGCAUGCUUAGCAGGUGGGAGGUCCUGGGUUCUAACCCCGGUACCUUCA